GGAGCGGAUGAACUAGCAUGCGAGUCAUUGUAGCAAUACAAGGCAGACGGCUCAGUAACGCGUAGUCAAUCUACCCUAUGGACGGGAAUAACCUCGGGAAACUGAGAAUAAUACCCGAUAGAACAUUAUGCCUGGAAUGGCUUAUGUUUCAAAUGAUUUAUCGCCAUAGGAUGGGACUGCGGCCUAUCAGUUUGUUGGUGAGGUAAUGGCCCACCAAGACUAUUACAGGUACGGGCUCUGAGAGGAGUAGCCCGGAGAUGGGUACUGAGACACGGACCCAGGCCCUAUGGGGCGCAGCAGGCGAGAAAACUUUGCAAUGUGCGAAAGCACGACAAGGUUAAUCCGAGUGGUUUCUGCUAAAGGAGCCUUUUGUCGGUCCUAGAAACACCGAUGAAUAAGGGGUGGGCAAGUUCUGGUGUCAGCCGCCGCGGUAAAACCGGCACCUCAAGUGGUCAGGAUGAUUAUUGGGCCUAAAGCAUCCGUAGCCGGCUCUGUAAGUUUUCGGUUAAAUCUGUACGCUUAACGUACAGGCUGCCGGGAAUACUGCAUAGCUAGGGAGUGGGAGAGGUAGACGGUACUCGGUAGGAAGGGGUAAAAUCCUUUGAUCUAUUGAUGACCACCUGUGGCGAAGGCGGUCUACCAGAACACGUCCGACGGUGAGGGAUGAAAGCUGGGGGAGCAAACCGGAUUAGAUACCCGGGUAGUCCCAGCUGUAAACUAUGCAAACUCAGUGAUGCAUUGGCUUGUGGCCAAUGCAGUGCUGCAGGGAAGCCGUUAAGUUUGCCGCCUGGGAAGUACGUACGCAAGUAUGAAACUUAAAGGAAUUGGCGGGGGAGCACCACAAGGGGUGAAGCCUGCGGUUCAAUUGGAGUCAACGCCGGA
rnacentral:rRNA from 1 species